rnacentral:lncRNA from 1 species
UCAAGUAGAGUUCAUAAACAUCACAUGCACUCAAGUAGAGUUCAUAAACAUCACAUGUACAAGUAGCCCAUGUGUGCAGCUACUGUACAAGACCAAUGUCAAACAUAGUCUCAUAAAAAACAUAGUCAUAAUAAAACAUAGCCCAAAACAAAUUUAACAUAUGUUUCACAUACUCAUAAAAAAUAGUAUUUGGCUUGCCCAAAACAUUAACACAACAAUGACUAUGAUCAUCUUGACUUUCCUUUGAAUAGCUUCUAUUUAGUACCAGAGAGCUCCAUCCCUUGUCUCCUUGCAACAGCUACAAAAACACAUAUAUAGCUAACCAAAUCAUAUAUUAGUUGAACAUGAUUAUAUAGAAACAAAACAAGGUAACUAAAUUAGAGCAUGCAAAAAGAUACAUGUUUGUGGAGUGCCUUAAGUUCCUUUUCUUUUUCCUGGAUCUGUGCCUUUGUAAACUUAGCCAACGGGCACUUCUCAUUGAACAUUUGUGUCAUAGAACGCCAACCUUUUGGUGCCCAACCAUUCUGGCCCCGGUACUUCACAUGAUUGUGCUCGUGCAAGAUGUCAACAAGAAUCUUCUCAUAGUUCAUAUUCCAUGAAGCUCUAGCCAUGACUACAUAGUAUAAAAUAGCCAAUGACUAUUACAUCAAAAUAAUACUAAUGAUUAUUAUAAUCAUUCCACAUCUGCAUAGCAAUUUGAUCUCUAAGAGCAUUUCCAGCAUUGGACUGACUACUAUACUGAUAAUUGCUAUCUCCCUCUGGUAAUUCAACAAAUUGACUAGAAUUGAUGUUAGUUGGGUGCUGAUCCAACCAUCCAUCUUCACCAUUUAAACCUCUAAUCAUGUUAUGAAAUGAAACUGCUGCUGAUGGAAUCAAAACCUGAGUCUCUAUGGGAUAAAAGGUGCCCACUUUGAGGAUGGGAAAUCGCUUCUUCAAGACACCGAUGGACCUUUCUAUGUGGUUGCGAAGUAGGGCAUGAGAAUGAUUAAAUAACUCCUUAUAAUUAGCAUAUACAGUACUCAACCCUCGCCUCCGAUAUUCACUGAGAUGGUAAGAAACUCCUCGAUAUGGGGCAAUAAAAGAAGGAGUGUUUGCAUAUCCCCCAUCUACAAGAUAGUAUUUACCAUCUGGCACUCUGAAACCCUUUCUUAAAGCUGAUUGAAGAACCCCCGCAUCAGAUGCGGAUCCUUCCCACCCACAUGAGAUGAAUGUGAAAUUCAAAUCGAAGUCGCACGCCAACAUCACGUUUUGAGAAAGGGUUCCUUUUCGAUUUCUAAAUGGAGGGGCUCUCUCUUCACUAAUAGUUAUGGGGACAUGUGUCCCAUCAAUUGCACCAAUGCAAUUUUGAAAGUAAGGCCAAAACCGAGGAUUGGAUGUAAUCUUCACAUGUGGCUGGUUUACACUUGGGAGCUUCACAAAUCUUUGAGUUAGAGCAGGGAUUAUACCAAAGAACUCGCUUGUCUUUCUAUGUAUGGUUUCCCCGCUAUGCUGAAAUUCUUUUUGUAAGAUCGCGUUGCUAGCAUUUUGAGAUAUCAUGUACAUGAAUAUCCCAAGAUGCUCCUCAAUGCUCAUAUUUGAAGUGUCUUGCAAUAAUCCUUCCCUUCUAAGAUAGCUUGCUAUAGCUCUAAAGAUCUCUGGCUCCAUUCGAAACUCAAAUUUGCACCAGCUCUCAUGACCAUCGAGCAUUUCUCUAAUUUUUCGUGCACCACUACGACAAGAAGUGUGUACUAGCCUCUUUUUAGAAUAAAGGGAAGCAUAUAUAGCUGGAACUAACACAAAAAAUAACUCAUCAUCAUCCUCCUCCUCCUGUUUCAAAUGUUUCCUUAUCAACUCAAUUCUAGAACCCAUUUGUUAGUAUACCUAAAACAAGAGAACAUGUUUGAGAAAUAUGACAAGAAGUGUGUACAUGGUUGCACCAAAUUAUUUUUAAAAAGUUCAGAGAAAUACUUUGUUCAGAGAAAUUAUUGAUUUAGUAGUUGACAAAACAAUCUAGAAGAAAUACGUAGCAUUGAUACUGAAGUGAAUUCUUAUAUAUAAGAAAUUUGGAAUCAAUUUGCUCUAACAGAAUUUGGAAUCAAUCUGGAAGAAAUAUACGACCAGACCAGCAGUAAUUAACAAUAUUAUGACAUGUCUCUCAACAGCAAUCUAAGCUACAAAAAACCCCUUUUUCAUAUGUAGGUUUGUUCUGACGCUACUGGGAAGGCAACUAUACUGACGCUUUUGUUGUUUCCGUCAAACUGAACAGGUCCUGCGCAACUUGGGGCAAGGGAUUGGGAUCCUGGUGACCAAGAUUCUGAAGGAGACCCACACAUCCUACUCCCUGCGUGAACCUUCUUAGCUAGCAACACUACCCACCGCUACUAGUAGAUAAAGCAACGAGAUAAAGCAAGAACCAGCAAGAACGUAAUGAACCAGCAAGUACUCACCUGAGGCGAUUCACUUCUUGAGAUGAGGGUGCACGAGCCGAGGAGGCAGCAACGAGCUUGUUCGCAUGGUCCCCGCCGUCCGACCUCGCACCAGUUGUCUCAACUGUACCAGUUGUCUCAACGAUUUGAGGAGGCCGUAGCGAGGGUGAAGGAGGCAGCGAGGGUGAAGAAGAGGAAAUCUGAAGAGGAGGCGGCGGCGGGUACAAGGGUGGAGAGGAGGCAAUAGCGGCUGCACGAGGGAGAUAAGGAGACGGCGAUGGGAACGCCGGUGCGCGCGACUGCGCGAGAGAGGAGACAUCAGGGGGCGGCAGGUGCGCGAGGUAGAAGGAGAGGAGGUAGUGGGCGACGGCGGGUUCACGAAGGAGACGAAGAGAAGCGCAGUCGAGUCGGGGAAAACCUACCUGACGUUACUAGGCCGGGGGCGAAAGCCCGCUCUUCC